rnacentral:piRNA from 1 species
UGGUGUUUCUACAGUAGGAUAAAAUGAUG